rnacentral:rRNA from 1 species
AACGAACGCUGGCGGCAGGCCUAACACAUGCAAGUCGAACGAGAAGCCACCUUCGGGUGGUGGACAGUGGCAGACGCGUGAGUAACGCGUGGGAACGUGCCUUUCGGUUCGGAAUAACCCAGGGAAACUUGGGCUAGUACCGGAUACGCCCUUCGGGGGAAAGAUUCAUUGCCGAAAGAUCGGCCCGCGUCGGAUUAGCUAGUUGGUGGGGUAAUGGCCCACCAAGGCGACGAUCCGUAGCUGGUCUGAGAGGAUGACCAGCCACACUGGGACUGAGACACGGCCCAGACUCCUACGGGAGGCAGCAGUGGGGAAUAUUGGACAAUGGGCGAAAGCCUGAUCCAGCCAUGCUGCGUGGGUGAAGAAGGCCUUAGGGUUGUAAACCCCUUUCAGCGGGGAAGAUAAUGACGGUACCCGCAGAAGAAGUCCCGGCUAACUCCGUGCCAGCCGCCGCGGUAAUAC